rnacentral:rRNA from 1 species
CCUACGGGUGGCAGCAGUAGGGAAUCUUCCACAAUGGGCGAAAGCCUGAUGGAGCAACGCCGCGUGGGUGAAGAAGGUCUUCGGUUCGUAAAACCCUGUUGUUAGAGGAGAAAGUGCGUGAGAGUAACUGUUCACGUUUCGACGGUAUCUAACCAGAAAGGCACGGUUAACUACGUGCCAGCAGCCGCGGUAAUACGUAGGUGGCAAGCGUUAUCCGGAUUUAUUGGGGGUAAAGGGAACGCAGGCGGUCUUUUAAGUCUGAUGUGAAAGGCCUCGGCUUAACCGGGGUAGUGCAUUGGAAACUGGGAGACUCGAGUGCAGAAGAGGAGUGCGGAAUUCCCUGUGUAGCGGUGAAAUGCGUAGAUAUAUGGAAGAACACCAGUGGCGAAGGCGGCACUCUGGUUUGUAACUGACGCUGAGGUUCGAAAGCGUGGGUAGCAAACAGGAUUAGAUACCCCAGUAGUC